AAUGAACGCUUGCGCCAUGCUUAACACAUGCAAGUCGAACGGAGUUGAGACAUAAAAAGCUAAUACAUCUUCGAUGUAAAGCUUUGCAUUCUCAAUUUAGUGGCGAACGGGUGAGUAACGCGUAAGUUACCUUCCCCUAGGAGAGGGAUACUAACUGGAAACGGUUUCUAAUACCUCAUACGCUGAGAAGUAAAAGUACUAACGCCUAGGGACGGGCUUGCGUCUGAUUAUUUUCGCUAGUUGGUUGAGGUAAAAGCUCAGCCAAGGUGAUGAGCAGUAGCUGGUCUGAGAGGAUGACCGGCCACACUGGGACUGAGAUACGGCCCAGACUCCUACGGGAGGCAGCAGUGAGGAAUCUUCCGCAAUGGGCGAAAGCCUGACGGAGCAAUGACGCGUGAGGGAUGACCGCCUGUGGGUGUUAAACCUCUUUUACCGGAGAAGAAGCUGAAUAAGUUGACGGUAUCCGGUGAAUAAGCAUUGGCUAAUUCCGUGCCAGCCGCCGCGGUAAGAC
rnacentral:rRNA from 1 species